rnacentral:rRNA from 1 species
UACGUAGGGUGCGAGCGUUGUCCGGAAUUAUUGGGCGUAAAGGGCUCGUAGGCGGUUUGUCGCGUCGGGAGUGAAAACCUUGGGCUUAACUCAGGGCUUGCUUUCGAUACGGGCAGACUAGAGGUAUGCAGGGGAGAACGGAAUUCCUGGUGUAGCGGUGAAAUGCGCAGAUAUCAGGAGGAACACCGGUGGCGAAGGCGGGUCUCUGGGCCGAUACUGACGCUGAGACGCGAAAGCGUGGGGAGCGAACAGG